GACGAACGCUGGCGGCGUGCUUAACACAUGCAAGUCGAACGGAAAGGCCCUGCUUGCAGGGUACUCGAGUGGCGAACGGGUGAGUAACACGUGGGUGAUCUGCCCUGCACUUCGGGAUAAGCCUGGGAAACUGGGUCUAAUACCGGAUAGGAGCCAUUUUUAGUGUGAUGGUUGGAAAGUUUUUUCGGUGUAGGAUGAGCUCGCGGCCUAUCAGCUUGUUGGUGGGGUAAUGGCCUACCAAGGCGGCGACGGGUAGCCGGCCUGAGAGGGUGGACGGCCACAUUGGGACUGAGAUACGGCCCAGACUCCUACGGGAGGCAGCAGUGGGGAAUAUUGCACAAUGGGCGCAAGCCUGAUGCAGCGACGCCGCGGGGGGGAGGACGGCCUUCGGGUUGUAAACGCCUUUCGCUAGGGACGAAGCUUUUUGUGACGGUACCUAGAUAAGAAGCACCGGCUAACUACGUG
rnacentral:rRNA from 1 species